rnacentral:ncRNA from 1 species
UAUGAAACAGGGCAAAGUUUUCGAAAGAUUAUGACGCAAAGCCGUGGGUCUAAGGCAGUAUGCUAUGAUCGCCAGGUUACCAUU